UGGCCAACUCUUCUGGAAGGGCUGAAGAACUGUUAUCCCUCUGCAGUACAUGGGGGUUUGAGCUCACGUCAAUGUGCCUGACCUAAGGGCAAAUGGAGCUAAGCAGGAGGGAGAAUUAGACACUUGCCACGGCUUGGAGACAGGGUCUACUGCUCUCUGCUGAACCAGAGGAAAGAACACACUGGCUCCUGAACCUUCGCAGGAAGACAAGGCGAGGGCUGCUGGGUGCCCGUCGCUGCUCACAGCACAGAACGUCCCACUCCUCAGACUCUUUGUCCCCGUCCUAAGACUGUCCUUCACUUGGUCCAUCCAAUCCAAAAUAUGGGCAUACGAAACACACCUCAUCCUUCACACACACAACAUGCUCAACCUUCACUAGCCACGUGACUUUCUUUCUCACAUCAUCCUGAAUUUGCUUUUCUGAAAUUUACUUUUCAAUCUUCUGACUUUUCUUCAUACCUAAGAAGACUGGACAAAGUGCUUGAAAAGCAAAUGGAAACAUUUUAUGAAUAACUACGCAAAGGAAAGACAUAUAAAUAUUUUUAAAGUUUCCCUUCUACAGAAAUGAGCUUAAGUCAACACUACAGUUGCCACUAAGUGUAAGGAUUCGUGAAGGGGAAAACGACGGACUCCCUUCCCUCUGUUCUUCUCAAGUAAUGCAAAUUAGAGAAGAGACGGGGGCGGGGAGAGAAGAGGAAUGCUGAAAGGGCAUUAUGCUUUUGCUAUUUAGUAAAAGAAGUAUCAACAUGCCUUCUGAUGACUCCUGAACAUCCCUUACAAAUGAAGGAGCCACAGAGUGGGGCAACUCCAUGCCUUUAUCACUCAGCCAGCCAAGGAAGAGGAAGACAAUCAAGCCACACUUGACAAGGGACAAGACCAUUCACUUUCAGGGCCAAGGGGAUUAGGACAGAGCAGCAUUUUCCCAUAGUGACAAGAGGAAACAAGAGAAUCGAAAGCAUCUUUCAAUUCCAUUCUGAGUCAAAGAGGUUGUUCUUGCAGCCCAACUGGGAACCUACAUGCAAACCAGUUCUAUGAGAAAAUAUGUCCCCAAAUUCCAGGAUAUCUGCUUCCCAUCCUCAGUUAGCAUACCUCCGUUUUAUAAUGUAAAAAAAAAAGGGAAAUCAGGAUUCACCUAAAUGAAUAUCAAUCAAAUGGAUAUUCCACAACUCAAGUGAUACCUGUGAACCCGAGGUGUUAGUAAACUUAAGGGUCACCAUCUACAGACUCCACAGGGAUGGGAGAUACUCUUGUGCUCCUAUGGUUGGGGCUGCCUCUAUAUCCUUUGCUUUAAAAUUCAGAAGGAGUGAAGAUCAGCUCAGGCAAUAAUGCUGGUUUGUCCCAGAGUCCAGAAUCUGCUAUGUUACCCAGAGUCUCUUAUGCUCAAAGAGGCUGUCAAAGAACGGGGUGUGGCUACCGUGGCCUCCCAGGGGCAAGUGGUCACACUCCAGCCUCACAAAGUGAGCACUGACUGUAGAGGUUCCACUAUGGUCAUGGUCUUAGCAAUAUGCAGGAAACACAGUCCAACCAUUCAUUGUCAUCUGGGUAAAAUACAAUUAAACAUCAAAGACUUGAGUCUCACAUAGUGACAUCAAAAUCUUUCCCUCAAGGCAAAGAAACAACUUGUCACAUGCACUUAAAAGAGGUUCUAUAAGUUAACAUUAGAGAGAGGAGGAGAAGGUACAAAACCCUGGGAGAGAAAAACACAUAAUUCUCUCAAAUUAGUGUCUUCCAUGGGCUGAAAACAUCUAUUAAAUGGGGACUUUGAUCCUAAAGAAAAAACGACAAAAGAAUGUUGCUCGACCUCACCUCUAUCAACUUUCCUCUGUUUCACCUGGAAUGUGUAACUCAGCUGUCCACAUCUUGGACCACUUGACCAUGCUGUGUGAUCCUAAGGACAUAACCCAAAAGGCAAUCUCCAAACUCACGGUGUCGUCACCAAUUCAACAUUUCUAUUUUAAUGUGGGAUCAACUUGUCAUGGUCACAAUGCUGAUUAUGACUUCCAUCCAGUUUUCCUUCUAUACAUGUCCAAACAUGUCACCAACAUGACCCCAUUGACUCGGGACUUGUCAGGGGUGAGAUAUGAAAGGAUUCAGAUCUGUUUUGUUCCUGCGUGGGGUCCCAGAACUACUUCCAGCAGCAAGACAGUUAAGAGACACAUUGGAUGAGGCAACAGCGGGGAAGAAAGGGAGCUGAUCUUGAAUUGGCUGUGUACUGACAGAUUGUAUGAAUGAAAGCAAUAAAAAUAAGCCCCAAAAUCUGGGUUUUGAGUGGAAAA
rnacentral:lncRNA from 1 species